GACUCUGAGAAAUACGUUGAGCAGUUACUUACACUAUUUAAUAGAUUUAGUAAACUCGUCAAAGAAGCUUUUCAAGAUGAUCCACGAUUUCUUACUGCAAGAGAUAAGACCCAGCUCAAAGAAUACUUCCCCUGGAGCUUCCUUGAUAUCCUGCCUCCCUCCGCAGCUCAUCACCAGCAGAGUUGAUUCCUCCAUCCUCUGUCCUUUCAUGGGACUCCUUCGAGAGUUACGUUAUACUUAUCCUUGUUUCCCAGGGAAGCAUUUGUAUUGCAUACCGUCUUUUUCCGUCCUCACUAGUAUAGGAUAAUGAUAAUAAAACACCAUACUGUCCUUAGCAUUGUAUCUUUUUUAGUGUAAUAAACCUAUAACAAGAAA
rnacentral:sRNA from 1 species